rnacentral:rRNA from 1 species
ACCGUAAGGCCUCGCGCGUUUGGAGCGGCCGAUGGCAGAUUAGGUAGUUGGUGGGGUAAAGGCUUACCAAGCCUACGAUCUGUAGCUGGUCUGAGAGGACGACCAGCCACACUGGGACUGAGACACGGCCCAGACUCCUACGGGAGGCAGCAGUGGGGAAUUUUGGACAAUGGGCGAAAGCCUGAUCCAGCAAUGCCGCGUGCAGGAUGAAGGCCUUCGGGUUGUAAACUGCUUUUGUACGGAACGAAAAGGCGCCUACUAAUACUGGGUGUUGAUGACGGUACCGUAAGAAUAAGCACCGGCUAACUACGUGCCAGCAGCCGCGGUAAUACGUAGGGUGCAAGCGUUAAUCGGAAUUACUGGGCGUAAAGCGUGCGCAGGCGGUGUUGUAAGACAGUUGUGAAAUCCCCGGGCUCAACCUGGGAACUGCAUCUGUGACUGCAAUGCUGGAGUGCGGCAGAGGGGGAUGGAAUUCCGCGUGUAGCAGUGAAAUGCGUAGAUAUGCGGAGGAACACCGAUGGCGAAGGCA